rnacentral:rRNA from 1 species
UACAGAGGGGGCAAGCGUUGUUCGGAAUUACUGGGCGUAAAGGGCGCGUAGGCGGCCUGUUAAGUCGAACGUGAAAUCCCCGGGCUCAACCCGGGAACUGCGUCCGAUACUGGCAGGCUUGAAUCCGGGAGAGGGAUGCGGAAUUCCAGGUGUAGCGGUGAAAUGCGUAGAUAUCUGGAGGAACACCGGUGGCGAAGGCGGCGACCUGGGUUGACAUUGACGCUGAGGCGCGAAAGCGUGGGGAGCAAACAGG